AUUGAACGCUGGCGGCAGGCCUAACACAUGCAAGUCGAGCGAGCGGGGGACGGGUGAGUAAUGUAUGGGGGCUGCCCGUUAGAGGGGGAUAACACCUGGGAACGGUAGAUAAUACCGCAUACCACAGCAUAACCCAUAUUGGAUUAGCUCGUAGGUGUGGUAAUGGCUCACCUAGGCGACGCUCCCUCGCUGGUCUGAGAGGAUGAUCAGCCACACGGGGACUGAGACACGGUCCAGACUCCUACGGAGGCAGCAGUGGGGAAUAUUGCACAAUGGGCGCAAGCCUGAUGCAGCAAUGCCGCGUGUAUGAAGAAGGCCCUAGGGUUGUAAAGUACUUUCAGUCGGGAGGCGUUACCGACAGAAGAAGCACCGGCUAACUCCGUGCCAGCAGCCGCGGUAAUAC
rnacentral:rRNA from 1 species